UACGAAGGGGGCUAGCGUUGCUCGGAAUCACUGGGCGUAAAGCGCACGUAGGCGGCUUGUUAAGUCAGGGGUGAAAUCCUGGAGCUCAACUCCAGAACUGCCUUUGAUACUGGCGAUCUCGAGUCCGGGAGAGGUGAGUGGAACUGCGAGUGUAGAGGUGAAAUUCGUAGAUAUUCGCAAGAACACCAGUGGCGAAGGCGGCUCACUGGCACGGUACUGACGCUGAGGUGCGAAAGCGUGGGGAGCAAACGGG
rnacentral:rRNA from 1 species